CUCUGGCUGUGGGAUGAGCCCACAUACCCUUUCCCCUUCAAGGUGGGUUUUAUGAAGCUUUCCCCCUCCACCUAUCCUGAUACCAAGAACUGGAUUUGGCAUUGGUUUUAAGUUGCUCAGAUGAAGAUUCAAGGCUCAGAGGGAAGAAACUUCCCAGGCAUCAUACAGUUGGUCAGUGUUAGAGCCAGAAUUUAAAGUCCACUCUGUUAUACCAUUCUGAUAUUCUAAUCACUUUGCUCACCCUCCCCAAUGUCUUUCAUCCUUGGGAGGAAGAACUCUUCCUUUCUUCACUGGUCCAGCCCCCCACCCACACCCCCAG